CCUACGGGAUGCAGCAGUGAGGAAUAUUGGUCAAUGGACGAGAGUCUGAACCAGCCAAGUAGCGUGAAGGAUGACUGCCCUAUGGGUUGUAAACUUCUUUUAUAUGGGAAUAAAAUGUUCCACGUGUGGGAUUUUGUAUGUACCCUAUGAAUAAGGAUCGGCUAACUCCGUGCCAGCAGCCGCGGUAAUACGGAGGAUCCGAGCGUUAUCCGGAUUUAUUGGGUUUAAAGGGAGCGUAGGGGGAUUGUUAAGUCAGUUGUGAAAGUUUGCGGCUCAACCGUAAAAUUGCAGUUGAAACUGGCAGUCUGGAGUAGAGUAGAGGUGGGCGGAAUUCGUGGUGUAGCGGUGAAAUGCUUAGAUAUCACGAAGAACUCCGAUUGCGAAGGCAGCUCACUGGACUGCAACUGACACUGAGGCUCGAAAGUGUGGGUAUCAAACAGGAUUAGAUACCCCAGUAGUC
rnacentral:rRNA from 1 species